CCUCCUUUCUAAGGAUGUAUCUAGCUAGAUCAGAGCUUGCUCUGUCUCGUGAUACACUUAGCAUAAGAUCAGUAAUCAAAACUGAUCACAUCCGGACCAGGCCGUCCUCAUAUCUCUUCAGAACUGUCAUGAUUUUGCCGUUUGGCAGGAUCAGCAAGGGGCCUUAGCUCAGCUGGGAGAGCGCCUGAUUUGCAUUCAGGAGGUCAGGAGUUCGAUCCUCCUAGGCUCCACCACUCAUGCGAAGGCCCUACAUAGAAUGGGUCGGUAGCUCAGGUGGUUAGAGCGCACGCCUGAUAAGCGUGAGGUCGGAGGUUCAAGUCCUCCUCGACCCACCAUUCUGCAGUAUACGAUUUGAUCGUUAAGCAUCCUGUGAUGUUUAACCGUCCAAUCGGACCGGAUCGAUGUUCCUUCGGGAAGGUUGAUCACAUUGACAUCGUUUAGAGAGAUACAAUCAACAACACUGUUGGUCACCCGCGUAAGGGAUCGACCUCAGUUUGGUGCUGAUGACUGCUUCGGUGGUCUGAUGCGAGCCUUUGCAUUCCGCCCUUUUCCUCGGGCGCGCGAAGGUCUGCCGGAUUGAAACCACAGUGUUGUCCAAGUCAAGUACACUAACCCGGUUCAUAUUCCGCAAGGUUUAUGAGCCAUUGUUCACUUCUUAUGAAGUGAGCGGGAAAGUAAUGCUUUUGGUUCAGAAUAAAGCCGUAGUUUCUUACCAGCUUCUGCGGCGUGGCAGGUCACUGUCUUUUUCUGGACCAGAUCAAGCGCGAGAAGG
rnacentral:tRNA from 1 species